UUUAGGGUAUAGGGUUUGGGUUUAGGGGUUUGAAUUUGGGUUUAGAAUUUAGGGUAUAGGGUUUAGAAUUUAAGAUUUAGGGUUUAGGGUUCCGCUGGAAUCAUUAACGUCGUUAAAAUUGGCGUUUUUAUUUUUUGUAGCUAUUUUUUAUUUAGUUUAAUGUUUUUUAAUUAAUAAUUUAUGUGUCACUUUGAUUGGUCCUAAAAAGUGGGGU
rnacentral:lncRNA from 1 species